CCUACGGGGGGCAGCAGUGGGGAAUAUUGCGCAAUGGGCGAAAGCCUGACGCAGCGACGCCGCGUGAGGGAUGAAGGUCUUCGGAUCGUAAACCUCUGUCAGCAGGGAAGAACGGUCACUGUGCUAAUCAGCAGUGAAUUGACGGUACCUGCAAAGGAAGCACCGGCUAACUCCGUGCCAGCAGCCGCGGUAAUACGGAGGGUGCGAGCGUUAAGCGGAAUUACUGGGCGUAAAGCGCUCGUAGGCGGUAUGUCAAGUCAAGGGUGAAAUCCCCGCGCUCAACGUGGGAACUGCCUUUGAAACUGGCAAACUGGAGUGUGUGAGAGGAUAGUGGAAUUCCAGGUGUAGGAGUGAAAGCCGUAGAUAUCUGGAGGAACAUCAGUGGCGAAGGCGACUAUCUGGCACAUAACUGACGCUGAGGAGCGAAAGCGUGGGUAGCAAACAGGAUUAGAUACCCUAGUAGUC
rnacentral:rRNA from 1 species